GCCUUAUUUGCUUUAUACAAAUGUUAUUUGCAAAGUAUAAAUACGUUUUAGUUUAUAAAUGUCCGUAAGAACAUCAAAACGGGUGCUCAUUCCCCUGUUAAGCCGCUCUAAGUAGCUCUUUCCUCCCGCAGCGGCGCCGGCGCCGGCAGACCGGCUGAACCAAAGUCAGACAGGCGGGAAGAGUCGUUGUGAAGAGAGGAAAAGCAUACGUGAAAAUGCGGCGCUGGCAGACGGGCUGAACCAUCGUGAGACUGGGUGAAGAGUCUUUAUAGCAUGUGGUUUUAAGAUUUAAGAUGAUAUAUAUACGCUGGUUAUUGUUGUAUACCGCUACUAAUUAAGUACUUUAACUCUUCAAACUUUUAGUUUUAUAUUUCCAACAUUUAUUUUCCACUGGCACAAUGUGUUAAUGUGAUUUUAGUGGCAUGACUUUGAUGAAAUGAAUAUGCUGGUAAAUCUGUACUGAAGUUCAGAAAUGUAAAAGAUGAAACCUAAAUAAAGUUGACUUGAAGCAA